rfam:Trametes pubescens strain FBCC735 TRAPTBscaffold_433, whole genome shotgun sequence.
GCAUUCGUGGUGUAGCGGUAACAUUGGGUCUUCCCAUGGCCUAGCUCCGGGUUCGACUCCCGGCGGAUGCA